GGAAUAUUGGGCAAUGGGCGAAAGCCUGACCCAGCAAUGCCGCGUGAGUGAAGAAGGGUUUCGGCUCGUAAAACUCUGUUGUUAAAGAAGAACACCUUUGAGAGUAACUGUUCAAGGGUUGACGGUAUUUAACCAGAAAGCCACGGCUAACUACGUGCCAGCAGCCGCGGUAAUACGUAGUUGGCAAGCGUUGUCCGGAUUUAUUGGGCGUAAAGCGAGCGCAGGCGGUUUCUUAAGUCUGAUGUGAAAGCCUUCGGCUUAACCGAAGAAGUGCAUCGGAAACUGGGAAACUUGAGUGCAGAAGAGGACAGUGGAACUCCAUGUGUAGCGGUGAAAUGCGUAGAUAUAUGGAAGAACACCAGUGGCGAAGGCGGCUGUCUGGUCUGUAACUGACGCUGAGGCUCGAAAGCAUGGGUAGCGAACA
rnacentral:rRNA from 1 species